rnacentral:rRNA from 1 species
UGUAAGCGUAUACCAAAGUUGUUGCAGUUAAAACGCUCGUAGUCGGAAUUUGGCAGUUCCGGAUGUGUGCACGUCGUGUGCGCACUUCGCGGGGAUUGCUUUUGUGGUCUUGCGUAGGAUGAGGCACUUUUAUUAGGGAACGUCCUCACGCAACCACUUUUUACUGUGAGAAAAUCAGAGUGCUCAAAGCAGGCAUUUGCCGUGAAUGUAUUAGCAUGGAAUAAUAGAAUAGGACUUGGUUCUAUUUUGUUGGUUUGUUGGGACUGAGUAAUGAUUAAGAGGGACAGUUGGGGGCAUUUGUAUUUCGGUGCUAGAGGUGAAAUUCUUAGAUUACCGAAAGACAAACUGCUGCGAAAGCGUCUGCCAAGGAUGUUUUCAUUGA